rnacentral:rRNA from 1 species
GACGAACGCUGGCGGCGUGCCUAAUACAUGCAAGUCGAACGAAGCUGUUUUAACUGGUGCUUGCACCGACUUAAACAACUGAGUGGCGAACGGGUGAGUAACACGUGGGUAACCUGCCCCAAAGCGGGGGAUAACAUUUGGAAACAGAUGCUAAUACCGCAUAACCACAGAAACCACAUGGUUUCUGUGUCAAAGAUGGUUUCGGCUAUCACUUUGGGAUGGACCCGCGGCGUAUUAGCUAGUUGGUAAGGUAAUGGCCUACCAAGGCAAUGAAACGUAGCCGAACUGGGAGGUUGAUCGGCCACAUUGGGACUGAGACACGGCCCAAACUCCUACGGGAGGCAGCAGUAGGGAAUCUUCCACAAUGGACGAAAGUCUGAUGGAGCAACGCCGCGUGAGUGAAGAAGGUUUUCGGAUCGUAAAACUCUGUUGUCAGAGAAGAACGUGUGCGAGAGUAACUGUUCGUGCAGUGACGGUAUCUGGCCAGAAAGCCACGGCUAACUACGUGCCAGCCGCCGCGGUAA